CCUACGGGGGGCAGCAGUGAGGAAUAUUGGUCAAUGGCCGGAAGGCUGAACCAGCCAAGCCGCGUGAAGGACGAAGGUGCCAAGCAUUGUAAACUUCUUUUGUCAAGGGACAAAAUCAGGCUCGAGAGCCUGACCGAGGGUACUUGCAGAAGAAGCAUCGGCUAACUCCGUGCCAGCAGCCCCGGUAAUCCGGGGGAUGCGGGCGUUACCCGGAUUUAUUGGGUUUAAAGGGUGCGUAGGCGGGCUGUUAAGUCAGCGGGAAAAGCCCGGGGCCCAACCCCGGCGAGCCGUUGAAACUGGCUGUCUGGAGAGGUCGAGAGGUAGGCGGAAUGCGCAGUGUAGCGGUGAAAUGCUUAGAUAUUGCGCAGAACUCCGAUUGCGAAGGCAGCAUACCGGCGGCGAUCUGACGCUGAGGCACGAAAGCGUGGGUAUCGAACAGGAUUAGAUACCCUUGUAGUC
rnacentral:rRNA from 1 species